AUUGAACGCUGGCGGCAGGCCUAACACAUGCAAGUCGAACGAGAGGCGGAAGGGUUAGGAAUACAUCGGAAUCUACUCUGUCGAGGGGGAUCGCGUAGGGGCACUUAUGCUAAUACCGCAUACGUGUGAAUCAGCCGGUGUCGGAUUAGCUAGUUGGCGGGGUAAAGGCCCACCAAGGCGACGAUCCGUAGCUGGUCUGAGAGGAUGAUCAGCCACACUGGAACUGAGACACGGUCCAGACUCCUACGGGAGGCAGCAGUGGGGAAUAUUGGACAAUGGGCGCAAGCCUGAUCCAGCCAUGCCGCGUGUGUGAAGAAGGCCUUCGGGUUGUAAAGCCCUUUUGUUGGGGAAGCGGUACCCAAAGAAUAAGCACCGGCUAACUUCGUGCCAGCAGCCGCGGUAAUUC
rnacentral:rRNA from 1 species